rnacentral:rRNA from 1 species
UAGGGAAUCUUCGGCAAUGGGGGCAACCCUGACCGAGCAACGCCGCGUGAGUGAAGAAGGUUUUCGGAUCGUAAAGCUCUGCUGUAAGAGAAGAACGUGUGUGAGAGUGGAAAGUUCACACAGUGGCGGUAACUUACCAGAAAGGGACGGCUAACUACGUGCCCG